AGGGAAGCGAGCCUGCGAGGGGGAGCGAAUCCCAAAAAUAACGUCCCAGUUCGGAUUGUAGUCUGCAACCCGACUACAUGAAGCUGGAAUCGCUAGUAAUCGCGGAUCAGAAUGCCGCGGUGAAUACGUUCCCGGGCCUUGUACACACCGCCCGUCACACCAUGAGAGUCGGGAACACCCGAAGUCCGUAGCCUAACCGCAAGGGGGGCGCGGCCGAAGGUGGGUUCGAUAAUUGGGGUGAAGUCGUAACAAGGUAGC
rnacentral:rRNA from 1 species